UACGUAGGGGGCAAGCGUUAUCCGGAUUUACUGGGUGUAAGGGGAGCGUAGACGGAAUAGCAAGUCUGAUGUGAAAACCCGGGGCUCAACUCCGGGAGUGCAUUGGAAACUGUUGAUCUAGAGUGUCGGAGAGGCAAGCGGAAUUCCUAGUGUAGCGGUGAAAUGCGUAGAUAUUAGGAGGAACACCAGUGGCGAAGGCGGCUUGCUGGACGAUGACUGACGUUGAGGCUCGAAAGCGUGGGGAGCAAACAGG
rnacentral:rRNA from 1 species